AUGAUCAAUGAUAGAUCCAGAAUUCAAUCCCCUGACAUAUGGCAGUUGUUUCGGGGUGGCACCAAAUACUCCAAUAAAAGGAUUUAUCUGGAUUACAUUGGAAAUCCACCUGAUGCCCCUAAACCAUUUCAAUGGACAUGGAAGUCAAAUUCUCUUCCUAAACAAAAGUUUUUCUUUUGGCUGCUACUCCAAGAUAGACUUAACACCAGAGACCUCCUUGUGAGGAAGAACUUUCAUAUUGAGAGCAGCAGAUGUGUUCUAUGUGAUGAUGAUCCCAAUGAGCAGUUCAUCCACUUAUUUUUUAGUUGUGAUUUCAGCCACAAUUCUUGGUUAGCCAUUGGAUUUCAAUGGAACAUUGAUCUUGAUCUGGUAGAGAUGCUUAUGGAGGGUAAGAAGCAUAAUAACAUAUGUUGCUUUAAUGAAUGCCUAAUUGCAAGGUGUUGGAGCAUUUGGAAGCAUAGAAAUGGUAUCAUAUUUGAUCAUCAGACCAGGAACAUCAAUCACUGUAUUGCUAGUUUCAAGGAGCAUUGCCAAAUGAUCAUCAAAAAAGCUAGGCCUAGUUUGAAAGAAGGGAUGGAGUCUUGGUUAGACUACUUGUAA
rnacentral:rRNA from 1 species